CCUACGGGUGGCAGCAGUGGGGAAUAUUGCACAAUGGGGGAAACCCUGAUGCAGCGACGCCGCGUGAGUGAAGAAGGAUUUCGGUACGUAAAGCUCUAUCAGCAGGGAAGAAAAUGACGGUACCUGACUAAGAAGCCCCGGCUAACUACGUGCCAGCAGCCGCGGUAAUACGUAGGGGGCAAGCGUUAUCCGGAUUUACUGGGUGUAAAGGGAGCGUAGACGGCCGCGCAAGUCUGGAGUGAAAUCCCAUGGCUUAACCAUGGAACUGCUUUGGAAACUGUGCAGCUAGAGUGCAGGAGAGGUAAGCGGAAUUCCUAGUGUAGCGGUGAAAUGCGUAGAUAUUAGGAGGAACACCAGUGGCGAAGGCGGCUUACUGGACUGUAACUGACGUUGAGGCUCGAAAGCGUGGGGAGCAAACAGGAUUAGAUACCCCUGUAGUC
rnacentral:rRNA from 1 species